rnacentral:sRNA from 1 species
UUCCCGUGGCUCUCAGAUGUUCGGCGCC